CACUUUCUUUUGUUUUAUAUGCAUACUAGCAGUACAGACCCGGCUAAGCCCGUUGAUUUUGUUCCUAGUCUUUAUAUUGUUUAUUAUGGCAAGAACACCCCCCCCCUUUACUUUUUUCUUUAAAUUUUAAUAAACGGGCCAAAUUUUAACGAUCAACCUUACAUAUUUAUUAGCUCGUGAAUUAGUGAAUCUGUUACAGUGAAAUUUCACUACCCGCUCUCUCUUUGUCGCUCUCAGGAACCCCCAUUUAAACUUAUGACUUGAGUAGGAAAGACCCGCUUUAUAAUGCGCCCCUGACACAUACACGUUCUCCUAUUUUAGGCCCUUGAAUUUUAGUAGCACUUUGACUUCUCCGCUCCCUCCCUCCCUCCCCCCUCUCGCCAACAA